UACGGAGGGGGCUAGCGUUGUUCGGAAUUACUGGGCGUAAAGGGCGCGUAGGCGGCCUUCUAAGUCGAACGUGAAAUCCCCGGGCUCAACCCGGGAACUGCGUCCGAUACUGGGAGGCUUGAAUCCGGGAGAGGGAUGUGGAAUUCCAGGUGUAGCGGUGAAAUGCGUAGAUAUCUGGAGGAACACCGGUGGCGAAGGCGGCAUCCUGGACCGGUAUUGACGCUGAGGCGCGAAAGCCAGGGGAGCAAACGGG
rnacentral:rRNA from 1 species